rnacentral:rRNA from 1 species
CCUACGGGAGGCAGCAGUGGGGAAUAUUGGGCAAUGGGCGAAAGCCUGACCCAGCAACGCCGCGUGAAGGAAGAAGGCUUUCGGGUUGUAAACUUCUUUUGACAGGGAAGAGCAGAAGACGGUACCUGUCGAAUAAGCCACGGCUAACUACGUGCCAGCAGCCGCGGUAAUACGUAGGUGGCAAGCGUUGUCCGGAUUUACUGGGUGUAAAGGGCGUGUAGCCGGGCUGACAAGUUAGAAGUGAAAUACCCAGGGCUUAACUCGGGUGCUGCUUCUAAAACUGUAUGACUUGAGUGCAGUAGAGGUUAGUGGAAUUCCUAGUGUAGCGGUGGAAUGCGUAGAUAUUAGGAGGAACACCAGAGGCGAAGGCGGCUAACUGGACUGCAACUGACGCUGAGGCACGAAAGUGUGGGGAGCAAACAGGAUUAGAUACCCGGGUAGUC